GUUGUGCAUUAAAUACCUGCCCCUGCUUGUAUGUUUCCAGGACCCUUAGCGGAGGACAGCAUCCUGACGGCUAAGCCCCCACGGAGACAAGCAGAGCUCUGCAAAGGCAGGACCAUCAGCUACAGAGCAAGGAGGAGCUGAAAAGCUUUGCUCAAACCUGAGAUGAUGUGCUGGCGCAGUGGUGGCGCACGCCCUUAAUCUCAGCACUUGGGAGGCAGAGACAGGCGGAUUUCUGAGUUCGAGGCCAGCGUGGUCUACAGAGUGAGUUCCAGGACGGUCAGAGCUACACAGAGAAACCCUGUCUUGAAAAAAAAAAAAAAAGAACCCAGAGGAUGUGUGUGCCCCCACUUUGGAUCGGACCCAAGACCCUAAGACCCAAGACCCAACAUGGAGUUAGCAGCUGCUAGCCUCCUUCCAGAGCCUGUACAAGCUGCUUCCCUGAAGUAGUAAGCAAGGGGGGUCAGAUGAAACCCGAAAGCUCCCUGUCUCUGGGUAUGAAGAGAGCAGGGGCACAAUUGGUGGGGUACCCAAAGAUUCCCCCCACGGUGGGACAAGAGGAAUGGGGAUUCGAACAGAAGGAAGCAGGUGGGCUGUAAGUUAGGAAGCUGGAAUAUUUUAGGUUGUCUUUGUUUUUAAAGCAUUGAUGUGUGUGAGUGUUUUGCCUGUAGGUGUGUAGGUGUGCCACACUGGUGCAUGCCUGGUGCCCAGGAGUUGAGGAGGAGAGGCUCCCCUGCAUUAACUAGGAUUACAGAUGAUUGUAGACUGCCGUGUGGGUACUGGGAAUCAAACCUGCGUUCUCUGCAAAGGCAAAAAGUGCUCAUACCUGCUCAGCCAUCUCUCAAUGGGCCAAAUUUUUAACCCACAAAAACUUCAACCCCACCAGGUCGUUCAUCCUUAAAGCAGGGGAGGGUAGGAAAGCUUUUAAACAGAGAUGCCUGCAUCUUGAAGGUAAGGGUAAAAACAGCCCUAGGAAGUACCUGUGUGGUACACAGGUUGGGCAAGGAGCAAGUUCCUUCUCUCAAUAAAGAAGAAGGAAAGCCUACUAUUAAGUAAGUCUCCCAGAUGUUGGGAAAGGUGCCUGAUACCCUACACUCCUCCUUCCUGUGCCGACUCCCAAGAGAGCUGUGGUCUGCUGCACAAGAAAUUCAUUGUGUGUUUUUGUUGGAGACAGGGUCUCUUGUAACCCAGACUAGCCUCAAACUCCCUCUACACAGCCAAAGAUGACCUUGAACGUGUGAACCUCCUGUGGCUUUAUAAUUACAGGCACGGACCAAAUUACCUGGUUUAUGUGGUGUUGGAUCUAAUGUGGAAAUGUCCUCCUACUUUUGCAAAAGCCUGGCAGUGCCCAUGUGAAACCAGAUGCACUACCACUGAGCCACACGCCCAGCCCCUCACUGGGGGAUUCUAGGCAGGGGCUCUACCACUGAGCCACACCC
rnacentral:lncRNA from 1 species